rnacentral:rRNA from 1 species
AUUGAACGCUGGCGGCAUGCUUUACACAUGCAAGUCGAACGGUAACAGGCCGCAAGGUGCUGACGAGUGGCGAACGGGUGAGUAAUGCAUCGGAACGUGCCCAGUCGUGGGGGAUAACGCAGCGAAAGCUGCGCUAAUACCGCAUACGAUCUAUGGAUGAAAGCGGGGGACCGUAAGGCCUCGCGCGAUUGGAGCGGCCGAUGUCAGAUUAGGUAGUUGGUGGGGUAAAGGCUCACCAAGCCGACGAGCUGUAGCUGGUCUGAGAGGACGACCGGCCACACUGGGACUGAGACACGGCCCAGACUCCUACGGGAGGCAGCAGUGGGGAAUUUUGGACAAUGGGCGCAAGCCUGAUCCAGCAAUGCCGCGUGCAGGAAGAAGGCCUUCGGGUUGUAAACUGCUUUUGUACGGAACGAAACAGUCUGGGUUAAUACCCUGGGCUAAUGACGGUACCGUAAGAAUAAGCACCGGCUAACUACGUGCCAGCCGCCGCAGUAAAAC